AAGAGACCCUCAAACUCACUCUCGGGACUUGGGAUGCCAGGCCAGAUCUUCUGCUUCAGAGUCCUGGUGAAACCAAAAGAAACAGUGCUGCAGAAGACCCUGCGUACUCUGACUUGUCACCUCACUCUCGUCAUCUACUGCGCCCUCUUAACACACACUGUUCUAGCCAUAGAGCUCUUGUAACGGCUUCAAUGUCAAGCUCAUACCCACCUCAGGUUCUUUUUACUUGCUGUUUCUUCUCCCUGCUUUUCACAUGGCUGCCUUACAACCAUCAGAUUUCCACUCUAAUGUUACCUUCCAGAGGUUUUUUUCUAACCAUCCUGUCAUCUCCCCAUAUCCCAUUUCUUUCUCUGCUAUCACUCAUCACAAUUUAUAAUCAAAUAUAUAUCUGUUGGUUCCCUUG